CCUACGGGAGGCAGCAGUGGGGAAUAUUGCACAAUGGGGGAAACCCUGAUGCAGCGACGCCGCGUGAGUGAAGAAGUAUUUCGGUAUGUAAAGCUCUUUUAGCAGGGAAGAAAAUGACGGUACCUGACUAAUAAGCACCGGCUAACUACGUGCCAGCAGCCGCGGUAAUACGUAGGGGGCAAGCGUUAUCCGGAUUUACUGGGUGUAAAGGGAGCGUAGACGGGAGCGUAAGUCUGGAGUGAAAUCCUAUGGCUUAACCAUGGAACUGCUUUGGAAACUGUGCGGCUAGAGUGUAGGAGAGGUAAGUGGAAUUCUUGGUGUAGCGGUGAAAUGCGUAGAUAUUAAGAGGAACACCAGUGGCGAAGGCGGCUUACUGGACUGUAACUGACGUUGAGGCUCGAAAGCGUGGGGAGCAAACAGGAUUAGAUACCCGGGUAGUC
rnacentral:rRNA from 1 species